CGUGCAGCUCCCCGUCACCGUCGUCAGCGCCCGCUGCUUCCCCUCUACUCCGUGGCCGCGCGCCGGAGCUCGUGCUCCGAGCCGCACCCGCACGCGCGCGCCCGCGGCGCUCGUGACCGCCCCUCGCCAUGCGCACCGUGGUCGCCGUCCCCGUACCACGCUCGCUCGCCAACACCUGCCCGCACACACCUGCUACGCCCGCGGCCGCGCCCCCGCCUCCGGCCGCCCGGGCUCCUCGCACCUGCCGCCGCUGCCCUUCACCGCUGGAGUCGCUCGCCGCGGCAGCCGCGGGUCAGCGCUGGAGCCGCUCGCCGCGGGUCAGCGCUGGAGUCGC
rnacentral:rRNA from 1 species